UACGGAGGGGGCUAGCGUUGUUCGGAAUUACUGGGCGUAAAGCGCACGCAGGCGGUGCGGUCAGUUGGAUGUGAAAUCCCAGGGCUCAACCCUGGAAUUGCAUUCGAUACUGCCGCGCUGGAGGACGGAAGAGGAGAGUGGAAUUCCCAGUGUAGAGGUGAAAUUCGUAGAUAUUGGGAAGAACACCAGUGGCGAAGGCGGCUCUCUGGUCCGUUUCUGACGCUCAUGUGCGAAAGCGUGGGGAGCAAACAGG
rnacentral:misc_RNA from 1 species